rnacentral:rRNA from 1 species
GACGAACGCUGGCGGCGUGCUUAACACAUGCAAGUCGAACGCUGAAGCUCAGCUUUUGUUGGGUGGAUGAGUGGCGAACGGGUGAGUAACACGUGAGUAACCUGCCCCCUUCUUUGGGAUAACGCCCGGAAACGGGUGCUAAUACUGGAUAUUCACUGGUCUUCGCAUGGGGGUUGGUGGAAAGGGUUUUUCUGGUGGGGGAUGGGCUCGCGGCCUAUCAGCUUGUUGGUGGGGUGAUGGCCUACCAAGGCUUUGACGGGUAGCCGGCCUGAGGGGGUGACCGGUAACAUUGGGACGGAGAUACGGCCCAGACUCGUACGGGAGGCGGCAGUGGGGAAUAUGGCACAAUGGGCGCAAGCCUGAUGCAGCGACGCCGCGUGAGGGAUGGAGGCCUUCGGGUUGUGAACCUCGUUCGCUAAUGGUCAAGCCGCAACAAUGGUUGUGGUGAGGGUAGUGGGUAAAGAAGCGCCGGCUAACUACGUG